GGGGAUUCGGCUGCUCAUGUGACUGCAGCGAAGGCAGGAUGCGGGCCGCCGGCAAGAUGGCGAAGGUCUCGGAGCUAUACGACAUGACUUGGGAAGGGAGUUUUGGGCACACUAGCAAAGACUGCUCCUCCUGCUGGUGGAUUUGUGCAACACCCUUUAACUACAUUGUCAAUUCACUCCCGCCAAGCUGAAGCAUUUCACAGUGGCUGUAGCCUGUCAUCUGGAAAGUGCCCUGGAGCCAUGAAGUGACAUUUCAUUGGAACCCUGAUUGUGUGAAAAAUCGUUAUUGACAAACUUUGCUUCUUUUAAGCUUCUGCAGCUAAAACAAAAGAAAAAAAAACAGAGUAAAAACUCUUAGAACAGGUUGUUUGUGCUUUUGUUAUAAAGCCCCAGAACUCU